rnacentral:rRNA from 1 species
AGAGUUUGAUCAUGGCUCAGGACGAACGCUGGCGGCGUGCCUAACACAUGCAAGUCGAGCGAUGAAAGAAAAGCAGAUCUCUUCGGAGUGACGCAUUUCUGGAUUAGCGGCGGACGGGUGAGUAACACGUGAGCGACCUGCCGUACACAUUGGGAUAGCCUCGGGAAACUGGGAUUAAUACCAAAUGAAACAUACUGAUAGCAUUGUCAAAAUGUCAAAGAUUUAUCGGUGUACGAUGGGCUCGCGUCUGAUUAGCUAGUUGGUGGGGUAACGGCCCACCAAGGCAAUGAUCAGUAGCCGACCUGAGAGGGUGACCGGCCACAUUGGGACUGAGACACGGCCCAAACUCCUACGGGAGGCAGCAGUGGGGGAUAUUGCACAAUGGAGGGAACUCUGAUGCAGCGACGCCGCGUGAGCGAAGAAGGAAUUCGUUUCGUAAAGCUCUGUCCUAUGGGAAGAUAAUGACGGUACCAUAGAAGAAAGCCCCGGCUAACUACGUGCCAGCCGCCGCGGUAAUUC